AUGGGAGAUGAAAAUUGGAAGAAAGAAUGCAUUGGCGAUUAUGACGUGCCCUUCUUCAUGGCAUCUCACAACCCCUUUUUCCUGGACGGACUCUUCUAUUUUCUGGACAUCAAUGGCAGGCUUGGAGUCGUGGACCCGAACAAGGACGAAAUGGAAUGGAACCUCAUGGAAAAGCCGGAUCAACCAAUACGUGGAAGCGAUGAGGUGCAUUCUGGGGAAUGGGACUAUAGCUAUCUGGUGGAGUGGAAGCAGGAGCUGAUCACCAUUGUCAGAGAUAAUGGCGAUGAUGGGUCCAUCAAAAUGUUCAAGCUGGAUCGGUCUCGGAUGGUUUGGUCAGAGUUGGAAGGGUUGGAGGGCGCGGCCAUGUUUUGGGAUAGGAAGAAUGCUUUAAUUGUUGUGCCACCCGUCGAAGAAGAUUUAUGUAACAAGGUGUUCCUACCAAACUAUAACGAGACCAACGGUGGUGGCAGGAAGCAGGCGUUCUACUCAUUCCAAGAGCAAUGCUACUACCCUUCCUUUUAUGCCAAGGAGUCCAUGAACGCUAUAUGGUUCUAG
rnacentral:rRNA from 1 species